GGGGCUUCGCCGCCUACCGAAUACAACCGAACUCCGAAUGCCGGCGGCCCAGAGCGCGGCAGUCAGAGCAUGUGGGCUAAGCUGUGUGCUCGAGAGGGAAACGGCCCGGACCGCCCGCUAAGGUCCCCAAGUUCCAGCCGAGUGGCAAAGGAUGUGCGUCC
rnacentral:rRNA from 1 species